CUGCCCCCUGUAGGUUAGCUGUGGUCUCUCCCUCUGCCCCUGUAGGUUAGUUGUGGCCUCUCCCUCUGCCCCCUGUAGGUUAGUUGUGGCCUCUCCCUCUGCCCCCUGUAGGUUAGUAGUGGUCUCUCCCUCUGCCCCUUGUAGGUUAGUUGUGGUCUCUCCCUCUGCCCCCUUGUAGGUUAGUUGUGGCCUCUCCCUCUGCCCCUUG
rnacentral:lncRNA from 1 species